UACAGUGAGAUUAGCUGCAAGCUAAUGUAUAACCAGAAUAAAUGAAAGCACACAGGAAAGAGGAUCACUUUGCAUCGCUCACAGCAGCUUGGAAGGCUGCCGAGAAAGAAGCGGCGGGGAACUUUGGGGGAGCACACAGCUGGCACAGUGUCCCUGUGCUACCUGCCUCUCUGGCCUUCCCUCUGCUAGGGGGCACAUCAGAAUAGGUGCGAGAAGGUAUUUCCAGGUUCCCAGCAGCGCUGCACCAUGGGCAACUGUGAGAAACGGGUGUUUGGAAGCACAGGAGGGAAGUGUGCGUGCUGUUUUGUGGCAGGCCUCCAGGAGAGUGCUCAGACAGAGGGCCCUUGGCGAGGCAGGACCCAUGUGCUGCUGCCCCGGGGGUGCCCCACAGGUAACCCCCACCCCACCCCCUGGCAGCAAGUACCCGCGGGCUGGCCUCAACCUUGAAUGUCAGCAGCACAAGUGGACCUGGGCAAGAGGUUCCCACGUGAAGGAAAAUGCAGGAAAAACAUAAUCAGACACUGCUCCGGCUGGGCCAGCACUCUUUGAAGUCGCCAGAAAGACCGGGGAUGGGCUGGGGCUCCUGGAGCAGCCCCUUUGAUCUGCGUGGCGGUGUCACUGGAUGAGCCCCUGCAUGACUUGUGUCGCCAGAAACUUCCAGCACCUCCCGUGGCCGCCGGCAGCUCCCCCUCCCUCAGUGGCUCCUCCAAGCACUGUGGGGCCCCACAGUGAGGACGUAAUUAGGUUCUCUCCAGUCGUGGUCCCUCGCCCCCAGCAGGAUGGGAUGGGUGCCACCAGCAAAAGUCACCGCCGUGCGAUCUUCUGGGGUGAUCAGUGCUGCAGCAAAGCCCGCUGAACUUCUCACCUCUGUGGCUGCCCGCAUUCAGGAACCAGGGCACCACCGUGCUUUUUUGCACAUUGCACUACUGGGGAUCUGACCGAGGGGCUUGUUUCCAGCACUGGGGAACAUAAAAAGAGAGAUCAAUAUUGUGAAGGUUAAAGCAGUCUUCAAAGGCCAGAAACUCAGCGGCUUUAGAUCAAUGCGGCAGUAUUCACUGCAGGAAAGCAGAGCAAAGUUACGUCGGUUUAGUAUCUGGACCGAAAACAAUUCAAAUCAUAGAGUCACAGAAACGAGAUGGAAAAGAAUGAUUAGAUCAUCUCCUCUGUCCCUCGGGGCAGGGCAGCCAGGCUAUACUGAGUGCUUUGUGCUGCGGUCAGUGAAGCUGCGGCUGGUUCAGGCUCUGCUAAGGCUUUCCAUUUCUGUUUUCCUAGUGCUUCUGUUCUUUGACAAAUGUAUUUUGAGUGAAUAAUUUAUGCCUGGGAUAUUUAAAGAACAGAAACCUAAAUCCUCUAUUUACUGAGUUCACGCAGAGCUAGCUUUGAAGGAAACAGCUGCAAUGCCUCAUUUCCCAUUGCCUCCCCUCUGCUGACCUGCUCAGGACCUUCACCCCAGCCCAGGGAGAUCAUCCUCCCCGGGGGAAGCGGCUAUUAGAGGAGUAGCCAAAAUCAUUCACAAAUGACGGUGUUAAAAGCGGUCUGUUCAACACGGUAGGAGUCCAGGGGCUCCAAAUAAUGCUGUCUGAUGCCAUCUGGUGAAUCCACAGGGGAUGGGUAAACAAUACCAAACUGAUUUCCCUGCCUACCAGAAGAACUUGGCUUGCAUUCACAUUCCCUUGGAGGUAAAUCAUUAUUAUUCUGAUUGCUAGCUCAGAUUCCACGAAGAGCAGAAGGAAAGGAAGGGAAGCAAUAAAGGGACCUCCUUUUGCGCCAUGGAUGCAGUGGAGAUCACACAGACAAGACCCACUGCUGCUGGCAGGUCUGAACGCAGUGUCUCCUGCAAGCCCUGCUCCUCCACGGCCAGGCCAGCACGUCCCAGACAGACCAGAAACGUGCAGGUGCAGAAGGGCUCUGCGCUGGUGACAGACCCCGUGUCGGAUAGGGCCCAGCAGUGGCACGCCACCAGCCCUGCUCUCAGCAAGUGUGCAAGAGCACUUCUCCAGGCCCGCUGCCCGAAGCAGCGGAUGACAGAUUGCUGCUGAGCACAGUCGUCUGCCGUCAGAAGGAAAAGGGUUGUCAGGCAUGUCCUAUUUAGGGGAAGAAAAAUGCAGUGCCUAUAGACAGAGGGACUGUGUGAGUCAUUAUGAGAGAUGAAGAAGGAAACAAAAAUAAUGUUCCUUAAACUUCGUGUCAUGUCACUGCGAGGGGGGGAAGGACACGGCGCCCUUGCAGGGUCUAGGCAAGCGUCUACAGGACUAUUUUGGGGACAAGAACUGCAGGCACCAUCCUGGAGGGCAAACCCUAGGGAGAUGUGGGCACAGCCAGUAAAUUGCUGGGAAGGGGAAGUCUCUUCAGUGAAUGAAACAAAGUGCUCAGAAUGUGGGAGUUUUUUGGAAAACCCAGGGGAUAACAGGAAUAAUGAGGAUGUGUGUGGCAGCAGGCCUGGGGCCCAGCAUGAAGCAUGGGGGGUAGCAGCUGGGACCAGAACUGGGUUGGGAUAAGGAUCAGAAUCAGGAUCGGGAUCAUGUGAGGAUCAUGUGGGGACCGGGUCCCUGCUUCCCCGGCUGCCCCACAGGGAGCCAGUCCAGGCAGGUCCUGCAAAGGGCGAGGAGAGAGCCUGUCUUCCACUCCUGCCUCUUGUUUGUUUUUAAACACCGGCUGCAUUUCCCAGCGAUUAUACUCAGGUUUGUACUCAUUACCAGAAGUUAGCGCAGUACCUUUGCUGUGAAGCUUGUGGAUUCGUAACUCACCAGCACAGCAGACGCUUCCUUAGCCAGAGGGUGUUUGGUUUGUGCAAUUCGUUAUAGGAAAUCUCCCUGGAUUUUCCCAGGUUUUGUGUGCUUUUUGUUUUACCGGUGGUUGCACUCAGCACUUCAAACCCUUCUUUGCUUUUGAUAUGUUUCUGUGGCUUUGCUCCACGGCACUCAAAGGCCAGCUGGGAGACAAAGGGAACCUCUGAGAUCAAAACGUUUUCAGCCAGCACAGCAGCUUACAUGCCAUGCAGCCCAGCUACAGGCUCGGUGAGAAGAAAAAUCUGUUUCUGAAAAUUCUGUAAGAGAAUUAAAUGGUUAAGGAUGU